rnacentral:rRNA from 1 species
CGGUGCCAGCAGCCGCGGUAAUUCCAGCUCCAAUAGCGUAUAUUAAAGUUGUUGCAGUUAAAAAGCUCGUAGUUGAAUUUCGGGAUCAAUAUUUCGGUCAUGCCGUUGGUAUGCACUGUUAUCAUUGAUUUCUCACCUUCUAAAGAACCGUAAUGCCAUUAAUUGGUGUUACGGGAAUUAGGACUGUACCUUGAAAAAUUAGAGUGUUUAAAGCAGGCUCACGCUUGAAUACAUUAGCAUGGAAUAAUGAAAUAGGACAUCCGAUCCUAUUUUGUUGGUUUCUAGGAUUGACGUAAUGAUUAAUAGGGAUAGUUGGGGGCAUUAGUAUUCAAUUGUCAGAGGUGAAAUUCUUGGAUUUAUUGAAGACUAACUACUGCGAAAGCAUUUGCCAAGGAUGUUUUCAUUAAUCAAGAACGAAAGUUAGGGGAUCGAAGACGAUCAGAUACCGUCGUAGUCUUAACCAUAAACUAUGCCGACUAGGGAUCGGAUGAUGUUAAUUUUUUUAAUGACUCAUUCGGCGCCUUACG